GGUUAAGUGAAUAAGGGCGCACGGUGGAUGCCUUGGCACUAGGAGCCGAUGAAGGACGGGACUAACACCGAUAUGCUUUGGGGAGCUGUACGUAAGCUAUGAUCCAGAGAUUUCCGAAUGGGGGAACCCAGCAUCUUUUAUAGGAUGUUACGUUUGCGUGAAUACAUAGCGCAUUCGAGGUAGACGCAGAGAACUGAAACAUCUAAGUACCUGCAGGAAGAGAAAGAAAAUUCGAUUCCCUGAGUAGCGGCGAGCGAAACGGGAAAAGCCCAAACCAAUGAGCUUGCUCAUUGGGGUUGUAGGACUCCAAUAUGGUAGUUCUUUCAGAUAGUCGAAUGACUUGGGAAAGUCAGUCAAAGAGGGUAAAAACCCCGUAGAUGAAAUUUGGAAGGCACCUAGGAGGAUCCUGAGUACGGCGGAAC
rnacentral:rRNA from 1 species